rnacentral:rRNA from 1 species
AGAGUUUGAUCCUGGCUCAGGAUGAACGCUAGCGGCAGGCUUAACACAUGCAAGUCGAGGGGCAGCGGGGUGGUAGCAAUACACUGCCGGCGACCGGCGCACUGGUGCGUAACGCGUAUGCAACCUACCCAUAACAGGGGCAUAACACUGAGAAAUUGGUACUAAUUCCCCAUAACAUUCGAAGAGGCAUCUCUUUGGGUUGAAAACUCCGGUGGUUAUGGAUGGGCAUGCGUUGUAUUAGCUUAGG